GCAAGCGCCCAAAACAAGCAUAAAAUUUUUAUAAAUUUGAUAAAACAAUCCAAAUCUGAUAAAAUUUUUAUUUUUUUUUUUUCACUAUUUAGAGUAAGACCAAUACUUCUGAUCUUAAAUUUAAGUCUUUUGUCAUUAUUUUUUAGGAGAUUUUAAUUUUCAGCCGUUCAUUUUUAGAUUACUCGUUCGAUAGAUAAAUGAUGCCAAAACUUUAUGAAAUUUAGUUUUCAAAUACUUUCAAUAGUGUAGAUCAAGUUUAACGGAGCCGAUCAUCGAUUUUGAAGCCGCAUCAUUGAAAACAACUUGGUAGAACGGAGGUCUCCGUGCUACCGAUAGUAUACCAACCCAACUAUAUAUAUAUAUAUAUUUGAACUUUUCGAGCUUAAUUCGAGCAAACCCAAUAAUA
rnacentral:lncRNA from 1 species